rnacentral:rRNA from 1 species
UACAGAGGUGGCAAGCGUUGUUCGGAAUUACUGGGCGUAAAGGGCGCGUAGGCGGCCUUCUAAGUCAGACGUGAAAUCCCCAGGCUUAACUUGGGAACUGCGUCUGAUACUGGGAGGCUUGAGUGCGGGAGAGGGAUGUGGAAUUCCAGGUGUAGCGGUGAAAUGCGUAGAUAUCGGGAAGAACAUCGGUGGCGAAAGCGCUCUACUGGACCGCAACUGACACUCAGGGACGAAAGCUAGGGGAGCGAAUGGG